UACGGGGGGGGCAAGCGUUGUCCGGAAUUACUGGGCGUAAAGGGUUCGUAGGCGGCCAACUAAGUCAGACGUGAAAUCCCUCGGCUUAACCGGGGAACUGCAUCUGAUACUGGAUGGCUUGAGAUUGGGAGAGGGAUGCGGAAUUCCAGGUGUAGCGGUGAAAUGCGUAGAUAUCUGGAGGAACACCGGUGGCGAAGGCGGCAUCCUGGACCAACACUGACGCUGAGGAGCGAAAGCCAGGGGAGCAAACGGG
rnacentral:rRNA from 1 species